UACGAAGGGUGCAAGCGUUAAUCGGAAUUACUGGGCGUAAAGGGUGCGUAGGCGGUUCGUUAAGUCUGUCGUGAAAUCCCCGGGCUCAACCUGGGAAUGGCGAUGGAUACUGGCGAGCUAGAGUGUGUCAGAGGAUGGUGGAGUUCCCGGUGUAGCGGUGAAAUGCGUAGAGAUCCGGAGGAAGACCGGUGGCGAAGGCGGCCUGCUGGGCAGUUACUGACACUGAGGCGCGAAAGCGUGGGGAGCAAACAGG
rnacentral:rRNA from 1 species